CCUCAUACAUACAAUUCGGUCAGGUGGUUCUUAAUUCGCCUAAGAAAAGGUGGUUCUCAAUCGCUGGAAUAGAAACGUACGGCGUUCAGAUCUACGGGAGUUUCACACGCGUUUAUGGCCUGUGUGACCGCCUUGACCAGCCGAAGCCGCCGCGCCGCCGACUGCGGCUGUAGGCUGCGCAUACGUGACAUCCCCCCGGCGAUCAGCCUCGAUCCGCGCUGCACACGCCGGCCGGCCGGCUCGCCAUCCCCACUGAAGAAGCUGUACUGAUUAAUCAUUCAAUCAAGGCAAGCUAAUGUACCAAUUUUUCGCAAAAUCCAUGGCGUAAUAUGCCUGAAAUAGUUGAUCUGAACAAGCUUACUCAGGAUCCAUCGAAAAGGAAGAUACUUACAGAUUUUAGUGUCAAAUAGCAUGAGGAGAUUUGGAAAAAUCGUCGCUGGAUGAAACGGAAGGAGGUAAUGUGCUCAAGCUUAUUUUUUUAUCUAUCAAUGUUUACAUUCCUUCUAUAUUUAAACAUGUUUCCUUUCCCCGCAAAUUGAAGGCUAAAAAGGAACGUAGGAACAAAAGAAAUCGACAUAUUCAUGUUUCACAAUUUAUUCUUUCGUAAGUGGUGGUUUACUUUUACUUUUGGCAAUCAACUUGUCAUAAUUAUGUGUGUGCUGACAUUAUCUUAUAAAGAAAUAUAUGAUUUUGAUUCUUA